rnacentral:rRNA from 1 species
CUACGGGAGGCAGCAGUGGGGAAUAUUGCACAAUGGAGGAAACUCUGAUGCAGCAACGCCGCGUGGAGGAUGACACUUUUCGGAGCGUAAACUCCUUUUAUAUAGGAAGAAGAUGACGGUACUAUAUGAAUAAGCGCCGGCUAACUCCGUGCCAGCAGCCGCGGUAGUACGGAGGGCGCAAGCGUUACUCGGAAUCACUGGGCGUAAAGAGCGUGUAGGCGGAUUAAAAAGUCAGAAGUGAAAUCCUAUAGCUUAACUAUAGAACUGCUUCUGAAACUCUUAAUCUAGAAUAUGGGAGAGGUAGAUGGAAUUUCUGGUGUAGGGGUAAAAUCCGUAGAGAUCAGAAGGAAUACCGAUUGCGAAGGCGAUCUACUAGAACAUUAUUGACGCUGAGACGCGAAAGCGUGGGGAGCAAACAGGAUUAGAUACCCGCGUAGUC